AACGAACGCUGGCGGCAUGCCUAACACAUGCAAGUCGAACGAGACCUUCGGGUCUAGUGGCGCACGGGUGCGUAACGCGUGGGAACCUGCCCUUACGCUCCGCCCCACCCCCCGCCCCCGCCCCUCACCCCCCCCCCUCUCCCCCCACCCAAGCUCGAUCGCCCUGGGAUGGGCCCGCGCUGGCCUAGCGCGGGGGUAGGGUAAAAGCCUACCAAGGCGACGCUCCAUAGCUGGUCGGAGAGGAUGAGCAGCCACACGGGGACUGAGACACGGCCCAGACUCCUACGGGAGGGAGCAGUGGGGAAUAUUGGACAAGGGGCGAAAGCCUGAGCCAGCAAUGCCGCGUGAGUGAUGAAGGCCUUAGGGUUGUAAAGCUCUUUUAGCCGGGAUGAUAAUGACAGUACCGGGAGAAUAAGCGCCGGCUAACUCCGUG
rnacentral:rRNA from 1 species